GCCUGGGUGACUCAGUCAGUUGAGCGUCUGACUUGGACUCAGGUCAUGAUCUCACGGUUCAUGGGUUUGAGCCCCGUGUCAGGCU
rfam:Felis catus isolate Cinnamon breed Abyssinian chromosome X, whole genome shotgun sequence.